rnacentral:rRNA from 1 species
UACGGGAGGCAGCAGUGAGGAAUAUUGGUCAAUGGACGAGAGUCUGAACCAGCCAAGUAGCGUGCAGGACGACUGCCCUAUGGGUUGUAAACUGCUUUUAUGCGGGAAUAAAGUCAGGUACGCGUACCUGUUUGUAUGUACCCUAUGAAUAAGGACCGGCUAACUCCGUGCCAGCAGCCGCGGUAAU